rnacentral:rRNA from 1 species
CACAAUUCGAGCAGGUGCGAAAGCAGGUCAUAGUGAUCCGGUGGUUCUGAAUGGAAGGGCCAUCGCUCAACGGAUAAAAGGUACUCCGGGGAUAACAGGCUGAUACCGCCCAAGAGUUCAUAUCGACGGCGGUGUUUGGCACCUCGAUGUCGGCUCAUCACAUCCUGGGGCUGAAGUCGGUCCCAAGGGUAUGGCUGUUCGCCAUUUAAAGUGGUACGCGAGCUGGGUUUAGAACGUCGUGAGACAGUUCGGUCCCUAUCUGCCGUGGGCGUUGGAAAAUUGAAAGGGGCUGCUCCUAGUACGAGAGGACCGGAGUGGACGAACCUCUGGUGUUCGGGUUGUCAUGCCAAUGGCAUUGCCCGGUAGCUAAGUUCGGAAUCGAUAACCGCUGAAAGCAUCUAAGCGGGAAGCGAGCCUUGAGAUGAGUUUUCCCUGGCACUAUAAGUGUCCUAAAGGGUUGUCGUAGACUACGACGUUGAUAGGCAGGGUGUGUAAGUGCUGCGAGGCAUUGAGCUAACCUGUACUAAUUGCCCGUGAGGCUUAACCAUACAACACCCAAGGGGUUU